UACACCAGUUCCCAUAUAAUCACUCAAGUUAAACAACAUUGAGCCUGAUCAGUACUUAGAUGGGUGACCACUUGGGAAUACCAGGUACAGUA